AAAGGAAAAAAAAAAAAGGGAGGAGAAGGGAAGAAAGGAAGCUUUCUGCAUACUAAACACUCUCUGUUCUUCAAUGUGGGCACAAGGAUAUUUCUAGCUGUUCCCCAGGAAUGGUGAGGUAGAAUUGAAGCCGGACAGCAGGAGUGGAGGCUCUGAAGGCAGUGGGCGAGCCUUUGGUUUACCCCUGGGUGCCACCAACAGCAAGCAAGAGGCUCCCCUGAGCUGGACCCCUGGGCGAGGCUGAGCCAAGGGUACCCACUGCAACAACACAAGUCCAAGAGGAGAGAUCCCAGAACAAAGUUAGAAUGGGUGCAAAGUAAAAGAAAGGGUAACAGAAUAUCGGUCAGGUCUCUGCAGUCACUUGGCCAAGAUGAAGUGAGCAGAAUGUCCUCUCACCGUGACUGUGAUGGAUAAUGCUUCUGUUUGACUUCUCCUGAAUAGUGCAUGCGCUAUUACACACUUGGAAUCCUUAUAUUCUCUGGCAGCUGUAAGAAGACUGCAAACUGUAGCUCCUCAUGCAGCCUACCAGUCUUUUUGUAUGAAGACUUGUUUGCUGAAUGUUGCCCAUCAAACAUGUGCGGGUGAUUGCACUAUAUACCACCUUACAAUUUUAUGUGUGUAUGUGUGUGUAACUCCACAUGCAUGCACAUACCCUGAUACGCAUGUACAUACACAGAAAGAAGGCAAAAAUACUCUAGAAAUUAUCUUUUUUUUUUUCAUAGGAGUUUAUGUGAAUUAUUUUUCCUUAUUUGUGUUUCAGUUUGUUUGAGCUGUACAUUACAACAGAUUUAGGCAGUGUUAUUUUUAAGACACAGCAUCCUGCUUAGAAAAGUUAGCUAGAAGUACGGACAGGAUGAGAUCCACUUUAUGGGUGAAGUUAGUGUGGCUUUUCUCCUCCAUCCUUUUCAGAUCUCUUAAAUACCAUUUCUUUCCAAACUGGAUUAGAAAGGAAGUUGAGUUGAAGCACAGAUCUGCUGCUACAACUAAAAUACAGUAUGCAUCUCCUCCAGUUCCUGGUUGUGCCGUAGUGUGUGUGACUGUGACCAGAAGCAAAAGCUCCCUGAGUCUCUAAUUGCCAAGUAUAACAUGAGGUACGGAUUGAAUAAAAUCUAUGAAUUCUGGGAGCACUCAUCUACUGCAGCACUAAGGGCCAUGGAAAUACCCAGAUGGAAUAUGCACACCAGGAAAAUGGCAAAAUGCCAAACAUAAAGGGGCUAAAUGGUAGGAAAAGAAAGUGGAUCCAAGCUUUCAAUAAAUAAUUAUAACUUUUGGUAAGAGGAAGAGAAGAUAUUAAAGGUCAGAACUCUGUGUCAUGCCCAUGUAAGUUAUAGGAGUGACUCAUGCUAACUUCGCCUCAGCACCAUAAAACUAGCACUGAGCACAACAGCCUUCUGUUCAAUCUGCGGUUCUUUUAUAAUGCCCUUUUCUUUUUACUCUUUAGUGAGACACUGGGAAUAAAACAGCGCUAUUA
rnacentral:lncRNA from 7 species